UACGUAGGGGGCAAGCGUUGUCCGGAAUCAUUGGGCGUAAAGCGUGUGUAGGCGGGCGGGCAAGUAUCUUGUGAAAUCCCACGGCUCAACCGUGGAACUGCUGGGUACACUGCCUGUCUUGAGCCAGCCAGGGGCAGUCGGAACAGACGGUGGAGCGGUGAAAUGCGCAGAUAUCAGGAGGAACACCGGUGGCGAAGGCGGGUCUCUGGGCCGAUAUCGACGCUGAGGAGCGAAAGCGUGGGGGAGCGAACAGG
rnacentral:rRNA from 1 species